rnacentral:rRNA from 1 species
AGAGUUUGAUCAUGGCUCAGGACGAACGCUGGCGGCGUGCUUAAUACAUGCAAGUCGAACGAGAGGAAGGAAAGCUUGCUUUUCUGAAUCUAGUGGCGAACGGGUGAGUAACACGUAGGUAACCUGCCCAUGUGCCCGGGAUAACUUCUGGAAACGGAUGCUAAAACCGGAUAGGUAGCAGACAAGCAUUUGACUGCUAUUAAAGUGGCCUUGGCCAUGAACAUGGAUGGACCUGCGGUGCAUUAG